rnacentral:rRNA from 1 species
AACGAACGCUGGCGGCAUGCCUAACACAUGCAAGUCGAACGAGACCUUCGGGUCUAGUGGCGCACGGGUGCGUAACGCGUGGGAACCUGCCCUUAGGUUCGGAAUAACUCCCCGAAAGGGGUGCUAAUACCGGAUAAUGUCUUCGGACCAAAGAUUUAUCGCCUUUGGAUGGACCCGCGUUGGAUUAGCUAGUUGGUAGGGUAAAAGCCUACCAAGGCGACGAUCCAUAGCUGGUCUGAGAGGAUGAUCAGCCACACUGAGACUGAGACACGGCCCAGACUCCUACGGGAGGCAGCAGUGGGGAAUAUUGGACAAUGGGCGAAAGCCUGAUCCAGCAAUGCCGCGUGAGUGAUGAAGGCCGUAGGGUUGUAAAGCUCUUUUAACCGGGAUGAUAAUGACAGUACCGGGAGAAUAAGCUCCGGCUAACUCCGUG